rnacentral:tRNA from 1 species
GGGGCUAUAGCUCAGUUGGUAGAGCGUCUCGUUCGCAAUGAGAAGGUCAGGAGUUCGAUUCUCCUUAGCUCCACCA